UAGGGAAUCUUCCGCAAUGGGCGAAAGCUUGACGGAGCAACGCCGCGUGAGUGAUGAAGGUCUUCGGAUCGUAAAACUCUGUUAUUAGGGAAGAACAAAUGUGUAAGUAACUAUGCACGUCUUGACGGUACCUAAUCAGAAAGCCACGGCUAACUACGUGCCAGCAGCCGCGGUAAUACGUAGGUGGCAAGCGUUAUCCGGAAUUAUUGGGCGUAAAGCGCGCGUAGGCGGUUUUUUAAGUCUGAUGUGAAAGCCCCCGGCUCAACCGGGGAGGGUCAUUGGAAACUGGUUGACUUGAGUGCAGAAGAGGAGAGUGGAAUUCCAUGUGUAGCGGUGAAAUGCGUAGAUAUAUGGAGGAACACCAGUGGCGAAGGCGACUCUCUGGUCUGUAACUGACGCUGAGGCUCGAAAGCGUGGGUAGCAAACAGG
rnacentral:rRNA from 1 species